GGGGGGGGGGGGGGGGGGGGGGGGGGGGGGGGGGGGGGGGGGCGGCGCGGACUUGGGUCUGGCGGCGAGUGGCGAACGGGGGAGUAAUGUCUCGGAACGGGCCCAGUAGCGGGGGAUAACUACGCGCAAGCGUAGCUCAUCCCGCCACCGCCCUACCGCGGAAAGCCGGGGAUCGUACGACCUUUCACUAUUGGAGCGGCCGAUAGCGCAUUAGCUAGUUGGUGCGGUAACGGCUCACCAAGGCGACGAUCCCUAGCUGGUUUGAGAUGACGACCAGCAACACUGGGACUGAGAAACGGCCCAGACUCCUACGGGAGGCAGAAGUGGGGAAUUUUGGACAAUGGGGGCAACCCUGAUCCAGCCAUCCCGCGUGUGCGAUGAAGGCCUUCGGGUUGUAAAGCACUUUUGGCAGGAAAGAAACGUCGCGGGCUAAUACCCCGUGGAACUGACGGUACCUGCAGAAUAAGCACCGGCUAACUACGU
rnacentral:rRNA from 1 species